GUCCUAUUAGCUCAGUGGUCAGAGCGUUGGUCUUAUGAGCCAAAGGUCGCGGGUUCAACCCUCCGCAUGGGACA
rnacentral:tRNA from 1 species